UGGGGAAUAUUGGACAAUGGGCGCAAGCCUGAUCCAGCCAUGCCGCGUGAGUGAUGAAGGCCCUAGGGUUGUAAAGCUCUUUUGUGCGGGAAGAUAAUGACGGUACCGCAAGAAUAAGCCCCGGCUAACUUCGUGCCAGCAGCCGCGGUAAUACGAAGGGGGCUAGCGUUGCUCGGAAUCACUGGGCGUAAAGGGUGCGUAGGCGGAUCUUUAAGUCAGAGGUGAAAGCCUGGAGCUCAACUCCAGAACUGCCUUUGAUACUGAGGAUCUCGAGUUCGGGAGAGGUGAGUGGAACUGCGAGUGUAGAGGUGAAAUUCGUAGAUAUUCGCAAGAACACCAGUGGCGAAGGCGGCUCACUGGCCCGAUACUGACGCUGAGGCACGAAAGCGUGGGGAGCAAACA
rnacentral:rRNA from 1 species